rnacentral:rRNA from 1 species
GAGUUUGAUCCUGGCUCAGGACGAACGCUGGCGGCGUGCCUAAUACAUGCAAGUCGUACGCUUCUUUUUCCACCGGAGCUUGCUCCACCGGAAAAAGAAGAGUGGCGAACGGGUGAGUAACACGUGGGUAACCUGCCCAUCAGAAGGGGAUAACACUUGGAAACAGGUGCUAAUACCGUAUAACAAUCGAAACCGCAUGGUUUUGAUUUGAAAGGCGCUUUCGGGUGUCGCUGAUGGAUGGACCCGCGGUGCAUUAGCUAGUUGGUGAGGUAACGGCUCACCAAGGCCACGAUGCAUAGCCGACCUGAGAGGGUGAUCGGCCACAUUGGGACUGAGACACGGCCCAAACUCCUACGGGAGGCAGCAGUAGGGAAUCUUCGGCAAUGGACGAAAGUCUGACCGAGCAACGCCGCGUGAGUGAAGAAGGUUUUCGGAUCGUAAAACUCUGUUGUUAGAGAAGAACAAGGAUGAGAGUAACUGUUCAUCCCUUGACGGUAUCUAACCAGAAAGCCACGGCUAACUACGUGCCAGCAGCCGCGGUAAUACGUAGGUGGCAAGCGUUGUCCGGAUUUAUUGGGCGUAAAGCGAGCGCAGGCGGUUUCUUAAGUCUGAUGUGAAAGCCCCCGGCUCAACCGGGGAGGGUCAUUGGAAACUGGGAGACUUGAGUGCAGAAGAGGAGAGUGGAAUUCCAUGUGUAGCGGUGAAAUGCGUAGAUAUAUGGAGGAACACCAGUGGCGAAGGCGGCUCUCUGGUCUGUAACUGACGCUGAGGCUCGAAAGCGUGGGGAGCAAACAGGAUUAGAUACCCUGGUAGUCCACGCCGUAAACGAUGAGUGCUAAGUGUUGGAGGGUUUCCGCCCUUCAGUGCUGCAGCUAACGCAUUAAGCACUCCGCCUGGGGAGUACGACCGCAAGGUUGAAACUCAAAGGAAUUGACGGGGGCCCGCACAAGCGGUGGAGCAUGUGGUUUAAUUCGAAGCAACGCGAAGAACCUUACCAGGUCUUGACAUCCUUUGACCACUCUAGAGAUAGAGCUUCCCCUUCGGGGGCAAAGUGACAGGUGGUGCAUGGUUGUCGUCAGCUCGUGUCGUGAGAUGUUGGGUUAAGUCCCGCAACGAGCGCAACCCUUAUUGUUAGUUGCCAUCAUUYAGUUGGGCACUCUAGCAAGACUGCCGGUGACAAACCGGAGGAAGGUGGGGAUGACGUCAAAUCAUCAUGCCCCUUAUGACCUGGGCUACACACGUGCUACAAUGGGAAGUACAACGAGUYGCGAAGUCGCGAGGCUAAGCUAAUCUCUUAAAGCUUCUCUCAGUUCGGAUUGCAGGCUGCAACUCGCCUGCAUGAAGCCGGAAUCGCUAGUAAUCGCGGAUCAGCACGCCGCGGUGAAUACGUUCCCGGGCCUUGUACACACCGCCCGUCACACCACGAGAGUUUGUAACACCCGAAGUCGGUGAGGUAACCUUUUUGGAGCCAGCCGCCUAAGGUGGGAUAGAUGAUUGGGGUGAAGUCGUAACAAGGUAGCC